AUUUUGAGCAGUCCUUCUGACCCUCGUGGCUUCUCCUGCUCCAAGGCCAAGCUCGGGACCCUGUCAUCAUCCCCGGGGACAGGCCCCAUCUUAGAGAGGAUCCACCCAGCUCCCCGCUCCUGAGCCAUCUUCCAGCUAUCCCGCCUCGAGACUCCCACCGCACCUGCUCCUGGGCUGCAGCUGCACCCAACAAGUCAACAUGUGGAUUGCUUCUAGAAUUUGGAUAUUAUGAACACUGCUGUGCUGAACAUUCUUGUACACUUAUAUGGUUUGGC
rnacentral:lncRNA from 1 species